AGAACUCCCCCCGUAUCCCUAACCUUCUGAAGGCCACCACCACACCCGUAGCUUGCCAUGGAUCACGCCGUCGCCCGGCUCCCAACCGUCGUCGUUGCUCCCUGUCUCAUCCGCCGUCGCUGACCACCACAUCCACUCUAUGUCGCAUCCCACCACUUCCACCGCCACUGUUAACCAUCUCUCGCCUUAGUCCUUUCUCUUGGACCAGCACACUGCGGCGGAUGCUUCCGGUCGCAUGGUGGCGACGCGGCUGGUCGCCUAUAAGCUACAACAAUGGUUCCCUGUUGUACCCCUCCACUCAUCGUACCGCUGAGGCAUGGAUGUACCCGGUGAAGAUCGCGCUCCGCGUAGCAAAUUCAUCCAUGUUCUGAGUGGUUGCUCGGCAAGGUAACUUUCAUCUCUGAAGUUCUCUUAUGGACCGUGUAAUGGAUUUGUGGGUGUGCUAGAUGGAGUGCCACUGGAUUUCCAUGUUAGUGGGCAGAAUCUCCUCUCCUGCACACACGAACUUGGGUUUGGCAAGGAGCUGGGUCAAUACUACUAUCCUUUGGCUUUGCAAUGGUGAUUAGAUAGUUCUGUGUUUUAGAAUCAUGGUGCUUUAGUUAGUUUGUUAAUAGGUAGAAGAACAAUUGAUCAGAAGGCCCAUAAUAUUUUCAUGGAUGUAGAAGAAACCGAAAAGAUCCUUUCAUGGUUGUACAAGGAAGCCCUAAAAUACCUACCUUCUCCACCUUCACUUCCUCUAAUUUGUACUCUAUCGCUCCCCCGGUUGAAAAACAAAUCCACGUCUCUCUCAAAACCAAGUUGAGGCAUGGAUCCCGUGUAAUCAAGGAGCUUAUUGCGUCAAGAUUAUUUUCUUCCUCUGGAUCAGAUAGUGUUGCGCGCUCAAGGGAUUCAAUCUAGAAUCUUCUCACCUACGGUACAACCUGUGGAUGCCCGAGAUCGGUCGGGGCAUAACUAUGCUCCUCAGGUGAGUUUAUAAAUUAAGAAAUCUGUUGUCUAAACAAACAUAAACAUGAAGGAGCCUAAUGUCAGUUGUCAACAUGCCACUGUUUAAGCCACUCCUAAAUCAAUUUUCGUAUGGGCAAAACAUGCCAGGGACCCUAUAUGGCAAGAUUAAUAUAUUUUCUUGAUUUAUUUUGUUGCUACUCUGCCACAAUCUCCUAUUCAAGGAAGUACCUUGCCAAGCUGGCAUGUCCUGGCCGUUGUAGGUAAGAGAAUUGACUUAUGAUGAACUUUCUUCUUCUUAUCCUCAUUUAGUUAGAUAGUUAUAUUGUGAAACACUUGACAAUGAAGCUCUCUGUCAACUAUUAGAGUAUUGACGGUUUCUGUCGUAAAUCUGAAUGUUUUGGCGGGCAAUUGCUUUGUAAAAGCAAUGGCACAUGACAACUACUAAAGCAUUGAGUUUCAUUGCUCUUGCACUUUCUAUAAGUAUGGGGAUUGAUUUUCUGUCAAUUCUGUGUUACAACUGACAACUACUAAAUUUCAAUGCCCUUUUUUGACAAUUUUAGGUUAAAUAGAAUGGUGUGUGAAAUAAUUGGUGCUAUCAACUAGGAGUAAUCAUGUCAUUAUUGGGUAAUGUAGCAGUUAUGCUCUGCAUUGAUAUUAACGUCAACACAAAGGAACUCUCACAUAUGUUUUCUUUGUCUCCAACCGGGAAAUAAUGUGUGCGUACAUACCCACUGGAAUGUUACCCGUGCUCCGUACUCGGCUCCGGUGAUAUAGUUUAACGGCAAGACAGACUUAUCUAACAAAGUGCUCACAACUUCCCAACAAAUGCUGCUCAUUGAGUGCCUCCUCCAUUCAAUGAGGAAAAGUUGACUGCUUGAGAAAAAUAAGCUGUGAGUUCCCCACAUCUACUAAACAUCGUUUUGGUUACUUCGUUUCUCUUCUUGCAGUUUUUGCAUGGGCUGCAGAUGUGAUUCUUUGUAUGGGAACAAGACUGAUAUGAUUUGGGUUUGCUGCAUGUACAUUCGACUUAGUUGUACUCGGGAAUGUUUAAGAAAGUAAUUCACAACAACAUGGAUGUCAGAUAUAUCAACUACUGUCACUGUUGGUUUUGAAGGAUUUGAUUAUGGGAGUUUUAGUAUGCCCUGACCAAGUACAAUAGAUGUAGACACCAUUGUCGCUUCCUUAUUUGUAUGUGAUUCAGAUAUUUUAAAACCUUAUCUGUACCAUUGAAUUAUGUUUUUUUUCUGUGGGGAGUACCAUUGAAUUAUGUUGUUAUGUAGGUUGCCCGAUAUGUUCAUCGAUGCUGUGGACAACGAUUUUUAUUAUCGUUUCCCAUAUUUAUCUAAUUAGGUUUGCAAUUACACUUUGUUUUAUUUAUCAUCUGUAUCUAGAAAAUCAGAUUGUGAAGCUUAUAAUUUAUUAGUUUUUCUGUGAUUUCCCUUUAUUUUGCUGAUAGUCCACUACUCAGGAUUAUAAGAGCCACCAUCUUUGUGAGCAUUUUUCCUUCAGGUGUUGCAAGGUGUUAGUAUGGUUCUACAGAGAAAGCUGCACAACAUGCCUAAUUUUGUACUUACCUUGCAGUUCUGUAGAUCUACUACAAUUAUAUGAUGUCCUCAAAUCAGACCUUUGCAAGCAUCACAAGAUAUCAGUAUAUAUAUGUAGCGCACCUUUGGUUCGAUCAUACAUUCAUAGUAGUUUGAUGUACUACGUUUUGGUUGGCAGAGAGGAUUCUGAUGGUGACGCAUGAUUCACUGUAUUUUGUUUUGUUUUCAGGCCGAUCAAAUUGCUGGACUAGAAAAAAAAAGUGUGUAUAUAAGCCAUCCAGCUCCGGGAGCGCGCGGAGCGAUGCUUGGGCGACUCCUAGAAAAUGGGCUGCGGGCCGCUCCGCUCCGGCGCGGUGCUGCGGAGCGGAGAGCUACCGAACAGCGCCUUUGCGUUAGGAUUAAGAGCAUGAUAAUUGCAAGGAUUUUCAGUUUUGAAAGGCAGAUGAAAUUGUUGGACUGAAAAGAAAUCAGUGUGUAUGUAUGGUAGUUCUCAUUGCAAUGUCCACUUUACUCUACCGAAGGUGUUGUUGUUAAUAAUAAUUUUUGUAUUGUAAUAACUUGUGGUUGGACACUUGAGCUCCGUUAGUAAGUCCUUACUAUGAAAUAUAUUCACUAAUGUACUAAUUGCAAAAUUAAUGUGUACGCAGUUACAUGGUUCAUUAUUUAUUUAUUACAAAUAUAUGGUUGUUUACAUGCAAGUCUAGCAAUAUUUUGGAAAUACUUUCUAUUUCAGUGAUGACACUUGAGUUUUGCCACAAAAUAAGAAGUGCCAGGAUACGGCUUACUACAGAAACUAAAUUUCUAUAAAAUUCACUGCUGCUCUUUUGAUAUUUUUUUCCGCCAAACAAAUGUUUGAAUUUUAGUACUUUAUCAUCUCAUCAACUUUAUAGAUGUAUUAAGUAAAGUCACGUGCAUUUGUUAGGUUCUCAAUUGGCUUUUCUUGAUUAUAGGUAGUGUGCAAUAUUUUACUACCCCCAACUUCAAAAAGAGGCUGCUUAUAAUUUUUGAGAUGUAACUCUGACCAUGAAUUAGAGUCAAUUCUGUCAUGGCGUAACAGUUGGCAGGAUCAACCACUUUAGAACCUUCCUCGAGUUGCACUCAUAUGCUAAAGAUCAUAAAAAAGCUACAUUACAUGAUGACACUGAUAUUUAUGAAUGAUUUCACAUCCAUGUGUUACCCAUUGUUGUCCAACAGCUACAGCUACAUGAGUUAUACAGAGUUUGAACAUUGAGAACGAUGCUAUGCAAUAUGAGAGCUGGUCAUAUAACUUGGGUAAUGGAAAGUAAUGUACCAGAACCAAACCUUUAUUGGUGAUCCUCAACCUACCCCAGCACCAUGCAAAUGGAUAUGGAAUCUUCUUGCUUAUGCAAACAAUAAAAUUCUUCUGGCUUCUUAUACAGGAGAGCCUUCACAAUAGAGAUCUGAUGAAGAGAUUUUUUUGUUGGUUAUAAAAAUUGUGUUCUAUGUGAGGAAGGCACAAAUGAAACUAUGAUGUACCUUCAUUUUCUCAUGUGCAUUCAGUUAGAUUUUUUUGGGUGGAAUCUGGGUAUUGGAUGGGACACUGGUAUGCUCAAUGAAGAAAAGAACAGGAAGAACAUCGUAUGUUUCAAUAAGAUCAUGAUUAGUGGGUGUUGGUCUAUAUGGAAUCAUAGAAUCAUCUUUGAUAACAAAGGUGCUAAUAUAGAGACGUACCUACUCAGUUUCAAGAAGCAUUUUUGUAUCAUCACGAAGACGUCAAAACCUAGCCUAAAGGAGGGGUCAGGUAUAGUAAGAGAUGUAAUUUCUUUUCUUCACCUCCUGUACAUAUACACAUGUACCUUAUCCAUCAUAUUAAUAGAAAACGAGUCACAGUUGGGGUUUAACCUACUAUAUUUUUUUCUCAAAACAAUUAGACUAAAUAAUCAUAAGUCAUGUAACUUAUAAAUUGUAUACAUCAAUUAAUAUCUUGCAGAAAAUUUAUGUACCAGGCAAUUGAUAAAAAAGUAAUAACGAACAUAUGUGCCAAAAUAUCAGAAAUAUACAAUGAAGAAUGUGGUUUCCUAGAUAUAUGGUUAAGUGUGGAAGAUCCAUGGAUGAUGAUUACAGAAUAAACAAGGUAUUAAUUAAUUAAUUAAUUGUUUAAAAACAAGAUAUUAAUUAAUGAAGCUUAGUGACCAGAUAGUUCCUACACUUGAAAAUGGUCCAUCGAUGAAUCAGAUGCGAACGACCAAUAAGAAUUGGACAAAACUUAAAAGGUAGUUCUUAAUAUGAAAUAUUCACAUCCUGCAUUCCAAAAAUCUAUGGUAUUAAUUAAUGAAGCUUAGGGGCCAAAUAGUACCUCCGCUUGGAGACGUCCAUGGAUGAAUCGGAUGUAAACGACCAAUGAGAAUUGAAUAGAAGUUACAAGGUAGUUCAUAAUAUGAAAUAUUCACAUCCUACAUUCAAUAAACUAGCCCGUGUGAAUGCACGGGUUGACGACUAGUAAGGCUAAUGCGGCUGACCUGAAAAGGGCUCUUGAUGCGGCCAAGGAGACGCGUUCCAAGAUUAGGGAUGCGCGGGAGGAGCUUCGACAGGC